CCCCUAGAUGUUCUGGGCCGCACGCGCGCUACACUGAACAGUUCAACAAGUCUUAACCUUGGCCGAUAGGUCUGGGUAAUCUUUGAACGCUGUUCGUGAUUGGGAUAGACCUUUGCAAUUAUGGGUCUUCAACGAGGAAUUCCUAGUAAACACAAGUCAUCAGCUUGCAUUGAUUACGUCCCUGCCCUUUGUACACACCGCCCGUCGCACCUACCGAUUGAAUGGUCCGGUGAAAUCUCGGGACGGCGGCUCGGUCGCUUGCGUCCGACUGCUGAAACUUGAUUAAACCAUAUCAUUUAGAGGAAGGUGAAGUCGUAACA
rnacentral:rRNA from 1 species